rfam:Triticum aestivum genome assembly, contig: Triticum_aestivum_CS42_TGACv1_scaffold_413802_5BL
UAUAUACUCCCUUCGUCCGAAAAAACUUGUCCCAAAUGUGUCCCUUAAAUGGAUGUAUCUAGCAUUAACUUGGUGCUAGAUACAUUCAUUUGAGAGACAAGUUUUUCCGAACGGAGGGAGUAUCUU